rnacentral:lncRNA from 1 species
GGUAUUGGAUACCGAUAGUACAAAUCAUGUUUGCAAUUAGUUGUAAAGUCUUCAAGAUAGUAGAAGGUUUGAAAAUGGUGAGACACUCCUGAAUGUAAGAGAUGGAAGUUUAUUCCAAUCCUAACAUUAGGAAUCAUUGAGCUUAUUUUCAACUCUGAUGAUAUCAUUUUAAGUGAUUGUUACUACUAUCCAAUCUUAUUGAUAGUAUCAAUAAAAAUGAUUAUUGUGAUAUCAUUGUGAAUGAUACUGCAAUAAUGAGUGGACAAUUGAAAAUGACAUAUACCCAGUACCACAGCC